UACGGAGGAUCCAAGCGUUAUCCGGAAUCAUUGGGUUUAAAGGGUCCGUAGGCGGGUUAAUAAGUCAGUGGUGAAAGUCUGCAGUUCAACUGUAGAAUUGCCAUUGAUACUGUUAACCUUGAGUUAUUAUGAAGUGGUUAGAAUGAGUAGUGUAGCGGUGAAAUGCAUAGAUAUUACAUAGAAUACCGAUUGCGAAGGCAGAUCACUAAUAAUUUACUGACGCUGAGGCACGAAAGCGUGGGGAGCGAACAGG
rnacentral:misc_RNA from 1 species